AAUACUUCGGAAAAUAGAUAAACCGCCUAGCACUUAUUGAAUGCGUCGUUGGUUUCCUAAUUUUCAGUUGCAUU
rnacentral:ncRNA from 1 species